rnacentral:lncRNA from 1 species
AUUGUUGCAUGCAUAUUAGGGUAAAGUAAUGAUAAGAAUGUGAUGAUAGCAUGAUUGUGAGUACAACUUGCUUAUAAUGAUGGUAGAGAGCCAAAUAAAUGUCAAAACCCUAAGUGUAUGCAUUAGAGAAAAGUGAGCACCCAAAGUGAGCAAAAAAACAGAGUGACGCUAUGACAUAGAUCGAGUGGCAUUUGAAAAUGUAAAGUAAAGAGACACUAGAGUUAGUGUAAUGCAAAGAACUAAUGUGAUGUAAAGAAUGAUGAAAAUGACAAUGUGUAAUGUUAAAAUAAAGUGGGGCAAUAAGAACAAGAAAUGUGUGAACAAGAUGCUAGAGUUAGCAAGAGUAAAGAAAAGUAAAGAGCAACGAUUUGCAUGAGUUUGCAACAUAAAGUGAUGUAAUGAACACUAGAGCUAGUGUAAAGUCAAGAUUGAACUUAUAAAUCCUUUGAGUUAAGGAUAUGAUCAUACUUGCUAUGAGUUCCGUGCUCGAGGGCGGUCGCUCCCCCUCGGGCGAUGCGCUCCGGAGUUAUGCAUCACGGGUUGGAGUAAACCCGUAAGGACGGUCCUAGCUGGUGAGUUCCUGCGAUGAUGGACUUAAUGUGAAGCAAGUUAAUGUGGCGAAACCUCCGGGUUAGCCUUGAGAUUAAAGAACAAAGAACAAAGAGCAAAGAAUAAAGAACAAAGUACAAAGUAAAGUCAAAGAACUAAUGAGUUUGCAUAAUCUGCAUAUAUUUAAUGUUGAGCAUACUUCUUGCUAUUUGUUCAGGCAUAUUAGCAUCAUGUUAUAGAUUGGUUACUAUAUCCUGCUUAUCCUUUCUAUUAUGCCUGAGUUAGUCCUAGUGGGAAAGUCGGUGAUGUUGAGACCGAACCCACUGGGAACUUUGUUGUAGUUCUCACCCCACUAUUUCCACAGAGCCGGGACCGAGCGAGCCGGCGAGCGACCGAGGUAAAGGUAUCGCGCCUUAGUCAGAGGCCACCAGAGUUGGGUUUACAUUUUGUUAGUAGACACCUUUUUAUCAUCUUUUGUACUUGAUGGUAGUGAUGUAAAGAAAAGAAUGUAAAGCUUAUUUUGAGAUUGUAGAACGCAGCGGAAGUUUUCGGUUCGUACCUUUUUGCGGAAGCGAUUCGAGCCGGACAACGGGAUGAGCCCGGAUCGUUUAGAUUGAUUCACGUGUCCUCGGAUCGUCCUUAAAUGUCUUCUCAUGCUCCACGAACUCGCGGUGGAUCGAACUACAACCGAGCGCGAUCGCAAAUUCACCGUGCAAGUCCCUCUAGAAUAAUAGGUCAAUGGAGGAUGUGGUUUCUCGCUAUUAUUUUUUUAUUCUCUCUUUUUUUUUUUCGUUCUUUCCGUAUAUUCCUUUAUGUGGGAUCGCCCGCAUAUUUAUAAGGAAUUCCAAAAUCCUAAUAGCGUUAGAGAUAAGGCCAAAUCGGUUAUUAUUUGUUAUCCUAAUAUGAUUAGAUUUAUCUCUAAUUNUGAGAUUAAAGAAUAAAGAACAAAGAGCAAAGAACAAAGAACAAAGUGUAAAGUGUAAAGAACAAAGAAUUUGCAUAAUCUACAUAUGUUAAUGUUGAGCAUAUUCCUUGCUUUGGUUCAGGCAUAUUAGCAUCAUGUUGUAGAUUGGUUACUAUAUUUCAGCUUAUCCUUUCUAUUAUGCCUGAGUUAGUCCUAGUGGGAAAGUCGGUGAUGUUGAGGCCGAACCCACUGGGAACUUUGUUGUAGUUCUCACCCCACUAUUUUCACAGAGCCGGGACCGAGCGAGCCGGCGAGCGACCGCGGUAAAGGUAUCGCACCGUAGUCAGAGGCCACCGGAGUUGGGUUACAUUUUGUUAGCAGUUAUCCCUUUUAUCAUCUUUUGUAUUUGAUGAUUCAAGAGGUUAAUGUAUAAAGCAAGGAAAAGAAUGUAAAGCUUAUUUUGAGGUAUAUGUGAUGUAAGAAAGAAAUGAUGGAGUGAUGUAAUGAAAUGCAAAGAAUCCUAAAUGUAAGAAAUGGAUGCAAUGUAUAUGAUCUAAAAUGAAUCAUAUUACUUGUGUAGAAGUUUAGUUUUCCUAUCUUUCACUAAUGGCUAUUGCUUACCCUCGUGUAAGCCGUUUGUGUAUGUUUCCGCUAGUGCUUUUCUCUAUUGAUGAAAAUGUGCAUGUGAUGAGCCUUGGGCGGAUAGGGGAAACUCUGUCCGUUCGGCAUCUGUUUGACGUGCUCGGGUCGGGCCAAAUUGGCAUUGGUCCCGGGGCGUGACAGAUAGGUUGGUAUCAGAGCCAAUAGUGAAAGAAUAGGAAUGGACCUAGAGACCCUUAGGAUUGGGAGACCUUAAGGAUCUAGGAAACGUGAGUGACGUGGGAUCAAAGUUAGCGAAAGCAUGUGAUUGGGUUAAGUAGGGACGUCUCUAAUGUGAUUAGAGGCUAAGUUUAAUUUUCGUUUAUCCUCUACUUCUAGUGUUGUGUCGGGCGGCCGACGACAUGACGCUUGAGGCAAGGAUGAAUGUGUAUGUUGCUUUCGCCUAAUUGGGUAUGGUCGAGUAAUGUUGGUCAAGUGACUAAUGCGAGUUGCUUCUUUUCAGGAAGCAAUGGCACCUCGACGUCGAUCGCAGGCAAGGUCGAUGCCGGAGGAAACGAAUGUGGUGCCCGAGCAAUCCGGAGCAAGGGGCGACGGAGAGCUUAGGGAGCAAAUGGCCGCUCUUAUUGGAGUAGUGCGGCAGCAAGCGGAGUCUGUUCAACGCCAAGGGGAACAGAUCCAGCGGCUCCAGGAGACCAUGGAGCGCCAGCAGGCGGCGGCGGCCCAGGCGGGUGUCGAGCAGGUCGCGCCACCUGUGGUAGUGCCGAGUGUUGUUGAGGGAGCGGCGGCGGCAGCGGCUGUUCCAGUUACGGUAGUACCGGCCGGAUCGGGAACUUCAAAUCCCGAUAGUGCGGCAGUCGAUGCGGAGCGGGAGUGCACGUUGGCGGCUCUCAUUCAGUUCAAGAAGUUCGACCCACCUACCUUCGAAGGCGGUUUGGUGGAACCGGCGAUCGUGGAGUCAUGGAUCAACUCAAUGGAGACGCUCUUCGAGGAUCUCAAUACCUCGGAGAAGGAUAAAGUGUACCUUGCCACACACUGUCUUGAGAAAGCGGCAAAGGUGUGGUGGAAGCGAGUGAAGCGGGAUCGUCCUACCGAUCUUCCGCUUAUGCUUUGGGAGGAGUUCAAGAGAGCGGUAUUCGCGAACUACUUCCCCGACACGGUGAAGCGGAGGCUACAAGAAAAGUUCCGCAAGUUGAGACAGGGUGAUCGAUCGGUGGGAGAAUAUGAGCAGGAAUUCUCUCACAUCAUCGAUUGUGUUCCCGACGUUGUUCGUGAUGAUCGGGACCGGGCAGAUUGGUUCUUGCGAGGACUUCAACCCCGGAUUUAUGAGAAGGUGCAAAUCUUGAAGCUGUCGACCUUUGCGGAGGUCUUCGAUCGAGCCUUGUGGGCGGAGCACGGUAGCGCCUAUGUACGUGAAGAACGAGAGGCUAUGGCCGAGUCCAAGGACAAAGGCAAGAACAGAACGGCGGGUGGUGCCGGGGGCCGGCCAAGUGUUAAGAAACCCCCCCGGUAUCCCCGACAGCAGUCGAGGAACUGGAGACCACCUCGAUGCGUCAUAUGUGGCGGUGAGCGACGUGCCCACAGCGCGAUGGCAAGUGUUUCAAGUGCGGCCAACCGGGACAUCUUAUCCGGGAGUGCCCGUCGUGGACGUCGUCUGCGCCAACGGCGGCUUCAGCACCGUCUACCCCGCGACAGCUUGCGGGGUUGCCACCAGCGAUGUCGGCUGGGCGCGCGUCAUCACCGCGUCAGCCGGAGGGAUCGAGAGCGCCUAGCGGCCGAGUCUUUGCAGCUCAGGUGGAGGAGCAGCAACCUGCAGCACCCGACGACGUCGUGGCAGGUAUAAUUGUGAUUAAAGGCACUAGAGCUAGAGCCGUGUUUGACACAGGCGCAUCUCAUUCAUUCAUUAGCACUUCGUUUGCUAAGACACAUGGCAUAGAGAUGGUGUAUAAUGAGGAUUACUGGUGGGUGAACGCCCCAGAACAUUCCUUCAGUGUUCAUAACGAGUGUUUGGCGUGUCCAGUGCAAAUAGGCGAUUGGAUUAUGCCGAUUGAUCUGCUAGUGCUAGAUCAGAUGUGGGGAUUCGAUGUGAUCUUGGGGACCAACUGGCUCUCCAAGUACUAUGCGGUGAUAGAUUGUGAAAGUAAGGUGAUCACUUUUCGUGAGCCUAAUCAGGAAGAGUUGGUCUAUCAAGCGUGCAAGAGUAGGCGCUUCGCGGCGACCAUAUCGUCUGUAAGGGCGAAGAGAAUGAUCAAGGGUGGAUAUAAGGCCUAUUUGGCAACCAUGGAUGAUGGCCGUAGGGAGUAUCCAGACCUUGGAAGUAUCCGGGUUGCGUGUGAGUUUCCGAAUGUGUUUUCGGCGGAAUUACCGGGACUGCCACCGGACCGGGAAGUUGAGUUUAUCAUUGACUUGAUUCCCGGGGCGGAACCAGUUUCGAAGGCUCCAUAUAGAAUGGCACCGGUGGAGUUAAAGGAGCUAAAAGGUCAACUACAAGACUUGCUCGAUAAAGGCUUCGUGAGGCCGAGUGUGUCACCGUGGGGAGCUCCGGUGCUGUUUGUGAAGAAAAAGGAUGGCACACUUCGACUCUGCGUGGAUUAUCGCGAGUUGAACAAAGUAACGAUAAAGAACAAGUACCCGUUGCCAAGGAUUGACGAUCUAUUCGAUCAGUUGCAAGGGUCCAAGGUGUAUUCGAAGAUUGAUCUCCAAUCGGGGUAUCAUCAAUUAAAGAUCAGGCCGAAGGAUGUGCACAAAACGGCGUACCGUACGCGGUAUGGCCAUUAUGAGUUCACGGUAAUGCCGUUUGGGCUUACUAAUGCCCCGGCAGCAUUUAUGGACUUGAUGAAUCGAGUCUUUAGGCCGUUGUUGGAUCGAUGCGUCGUGGUGUUUAUAGACGACGUAUUGGUCUAUUCGAAAAGCGAAGAGGAGCAUGAAGAGCAUCUGAGAGCUGUGUUGCAGAUACUCAGACAAGAGAAGCUCUAUGCAAAGUUAAAGAAAUGUGACUUUUGGCUAAAGGAGGUCACAUUCUUGGGUCAUGUGGUAUCGGGCGACGGAGUUUCGGUAGACCCGAAGAAAGUAGAGGCGAUCAAGGAUUGGCCUCGCCCGACGAAUGUAGCGGAGAUCCGCAGUUUUCUUGGACUUGCGGGCUACUACCGGCGGUUCGUGGAGGGGUUCGCCAAAAUAACCACUCCACUAACGCGCCUCACGCAUAAAGGAGUAAAGUACGUGUGGAGCGACGAUUGCGAUCGAAGCUUCGAGGAGUUAAAGAACAGGUUGACGUCGACCCCGGUGCUUGCCUUGCCAACUCCGGGAGAGACCUUUGUAGUGUACAGUGAUGCCUCGUAUGUUGGUCUCGGGUGUGUAUUAAUGCAAAAUGGGCGAGUUAUUGCAUAUGCAUCGCGCCAAUUAAAGAGCUAUGAGAAGAACUACCCGAUUCACGACCUCGAGUUAGCCGCGGUGAUUUUCGCGCUAAAGCUUUGGAGGCAUUACUUGUAUGGUGAACAUUGUGAGGUAUACACCGAUCACAAGAGUCUAAAGUACUUGUUCACCCAGAAAGAGUUGAACAUGCGACAGCGGCGGUGGUUAGAGUUGCUAAAGGACUAUGAUGUCACCAUAUUAUACCACCCCGGAAAAGCCAAUGUUGUGGCCGAUGCCUUGAGUAGAAAAUCGGCGGAGAACUUAGCGACGGCAAUUACGCCUCAACCGCUAUUGCAAAAGGAAAUGCAACGAUUUGGGUUGGAAGUGGUAGCGCCGGGAGUGCCGGCUACACUUGCCACAUUGGUUGUGCAACCGACCCUAUUGGAAAGAAUCAAAGAGUUACAAGCUUCGGAUCCUUAUCUCCAAAAGGUUCGGGGUGAUGUUGAGAAUGGCAAUGCCGAAGACUUUGGCAUUGGAGCUGAUGGCGCACUUCGAUUUCGAAAUCGAUGGUGUGUGCCUAAAGAUGAUGAGUUGCGAAGGGCGAUCAUGCAAGAAGCGCAUCAAUCUCCCUAUAGUAUACACCCCGGCGGCACUAAAAUGUACAAGGAUUUGAAAGAGCACUAUUGGUGGCCGGGUAUGAAAAGAGAUAUUGGGGAGUUCGUGGCGCAAUGUCUAACGUGCCAACAAGUAAAAGCUGAGCGCCGAUUUCCGGCGGGAAAGCUACAAAGUCUACCAAUACCCGUUUGGAAAUGGGAAGACAUAGCAAUGGACUUUGUUACCGGUUUGCCUCGAUCACAAGGCGGACACGAUGCGAUAUGGGUGAUAGUGGAUCGAUUGACAAAGUCGGCACACUUCUUGCCGAUACAUACUACGUGGUCGGGAGACAAGCUAGCGCAAGUUUAUCUCGACGAGAUUGUGAGACUUCAUGGGGUCCCAGUAUCGAUUGUGUCAGAUCGAGACCCCAGGUUCACAUCCCACUUUUGGAAGAGUUUGCAAGACGCGCUAGGCACGCGGCUCGAUUUUAGCACGGCGUUUCAUCCUCAGAGUGAUGGACAAUCAGAGCGAACGAUACAAAUCCUUGAGGAUUUUCUUCGAGCGUGUGUGCUAGAUUACAGAGGAGGAUGGCAUGAUUUCUUGCCUAUGGCGGAGUUCGCCUACAAUAAUAGCUACCAAGAAAGUAUAGCGAUGGCGCCUUUUGAGGCACUAUAUGGUCGAAAGUGUCGUUCUCCUAUCCAUUGGAGUGACGUGGGCGAGAGAACAGCUCUCGGCCCGGAUGUAGUGCGGGAGGCGGAAGAAAAAGUUCGCCUUACUCGUCAACGGUUGGCGAUGGCGCAAUCUCGAAAAAAGAGUUAUGCCGACAAGCGAAGGAAGGAUUUAGAGUUCGCGGUUGGAGACCGUGUAUUCUUGAGAGUAUCGCCGAUGCGAGGAGUCAAACGAUUCGGGGUCCGUGGGAAGCUAAGUCCCCGUUAUGUCGGACCAUUUGAGAUAUUGGAGCGUGUGGGUGCGGUAGCGUACAAGCUCGCACUACCACCGAGACUCGCGGCAGUUCACAAUGUGUUUCAUGUGUCGAAUCUCCGAAAGUAUAUUCGCAAUGCGGCACAUGUAUUGGAGUAUGAGCCCGUGGAACUACGUGAGGAUAUGUCCUAUGAGGAGUACCCUGUGUGCAUCCUCGAUAGAGAAGUGAAAAAGUUGCGAAGUCGCAAGAUUCCGUAUGUAAAAGUCCAAUGGAGCAACCACGCGGCGCGAGAAGCCACUUGGGAGCUCGAGGAAACCAUGCGGAGAGAGUAUCCGCAUCUAUUUGAGUCGACGAGUUAAGGUAUGCGUAAUUUCGCGAACGAAAUUAUUUUAAGGGGUGGAGAAUGUAAUAUACCGAAAAUUCGAAAAAUAAAAAUGUCGAACUUUAGUCAAAUUGACCAAAGUGCGAGGAUGGUACACUUCGGAAAGUCCGAAGGUGUUAAAAUGAGUAAAAGUGAGUUACGGGAGGUUUUCGAGAGCUAUAGAAUCAAAUUUGCAAAGCUGCAGACUUUCAGCUCUCGGGGACCGGUCCCUGGUGGGAGAGACCGGUCCCCGAACGCGUAUAAGAUGAGACAGCCGAAAAAUCGGCUAAGUCCUGAGAAAGUAGCUCUCGGGAACCGGUCCCUGUCCGAGAGACCGGUCCCCGAGAGACCGGUCCCCCAAAGAGAGACCGGUUGCACUGUGCGCAGCAGCUUUGGCUGCGCUGGGACGACAUUCGGGAACCGGUCCCUGAAGGAGAGACCGGUCCCCGCCUGCGCGAACUGCCCAGUUCGGGCAGUGUAUUAAAGUGAAAGUUGAGGGGUUUAGACUGCAAUUUUGCAACCCAAUAGCUAUGUAUUGGGGUAAAUGAGGGAUUUCUCUCAUUUUCACCCUCUCAUUCCCUCUUUUCUCUCUCUCUCUCUCUCUAGAAGACAAAGAAGAAGAAAAAGAAAGGAAGAAAAGAAGGAGAAGAAGAAAGAAAGUGAAGGAGAAGAUCAGAAGCAAAGAGGCUUCAUCUUCUUCCUCUCUAGUUCAAAGAAAGGAAAGCUUAUAAGGUAAGCUUUGAACCUAAUCAUAGUGGAACCUAAUCUAGGGUUUGGAUUAAGCUUGAAAUGGGUUUUAUGGAACCAUUUGAGUAUUUGAAGCUUUUCUUUUGCUCUUUUUGAGAUCAAGACCAUAGAAAUGUGAGCUUGAGGUGAGCUUCAUCACCUCUCAUGGUGAAACCGUAAGUAGGGUUUUUGAUUUGUCUAAAGAUGGUUCUAAUGGACUAUUAGAGUAUAGUGAAGCUACUUUUGCUUCCCAAGAGAAUCAAACUAGGUUUUGUAUAUGUAUUGGAGCUAAGGCACCAAAUUGGGGCUUUUGCUAUGAGGGUUUCAAGUGCAAUUGACCUCCAAAAAUCUAAUUGGGGUAUUUCGACGCGUUGGUGCGCUCGGUUAACGUUACGAAAAGUCAAAGUAAAUUAUGAGCAAAUGGCCUAAAUAAGGUUCGUUUGCCGCAGGUAAAGAACGAAGCAUCUAAAAAUUUCAAGAAUCAUCGGAGCACUUUGAAAGCCUACGAGGUGGGUGGUGCUUCUCAAACCAUUGAACUUCUCUCUAUGCUAAUGUGUCAUUCAUUUGAGAGUGUAAUAUAUAUUGUUGCAUGCAUAUUAGGGUAAAGUAAUGAUAGAAUGUGAUGAUAGCAUGAUUGUGAUACAAUCUUAUAAUGAUGGUAGAGAGCCAAAUAAAUGUCAAAAACCCUAAGUGUAUGCAUUAGAGAAAAGUGAGCACCCAAAGUGAGCAAAAAACACAGAGUGACGCUAUGACAUAGAUCGAUGGAUUUGAAAAUGUAAAGUAAAGAGACACUAGAGUUAGUGUAAUGCAAAAACUAAUGUGAUGUAAGAAUGUAUGAAAUGAGCAAUGUGUAAUGUUAAAAUAAAGUGGGGCAAUAAAGAACAAGAAAUGUUGUGAACAAGAUGCCUAGAGUUAGCAAGAGUAAAGAAAAGUAAAGAGCAACGAUUUGCAUGAGUUUGCAACAUAAGUGAUGUAAUGACACUAGAGCUAGUGUAAAGUCAAGAUUGAACUUAAUAAAUCUUUGAGUUAAGGAUAUGAUCAUUACUUGCUAUAGUUCCGUGCCUGGAGGGCGGUCGCUCCCCCUCGGCGAUGCGCUCCGGAGUUAUGCAUCACGGUUGGAGUAAACCCGAAGGACGGUCCUAGCUGGUGAGUUCCUGCGAUGAUGGACUUAAUGUGAAGCAAGUUAAUGUGGCGAAACCUCCGGUUAGCCUUGAGAUUAAAGAACAAAGAAUAAAGAGCAAAGAAUAAAGAACAAAGUACAAAGUAAAGUCAAAGAACUAAUGAGUUUGCAUAAUCUGCAUAAUAUUUAAUGUUGAGCAUACUUCUGCUAUUUGUUCAGGCAUAUUAGCAUCAUGUUAUAGAUUGUUAUAUAUCUGCUUACCUUUCUAUUAUGCCUGAGUUAGUCCUAGUGGAAAGUCGGUGAUGUUGAGACCGACCGCACUGGGAACUUUGUGUAGUUCUCACCCACUACUAUUCACAGAGCCGGGACCGAGCGAGCCGGCGAGCGAGAGGUAAAGGUAUCGCGCCUUAGUCAGGCACCAGGUUGGGUUUACAUUUUGUUAGUAGACACCUUUUAUCAUCUUUAUACUUGAUGGUAGUGAUGUAAAGAAAAAGAAUGUAAAGCUUAUUUUGAGUAAAUGUGAUGUAAGAAGAAAUGAUAAAUAUGUAAUGAAAUGCAAAGAACCUAUUUAAGAGAUGGAUGCAAUGUAUAUGAUCUAAAAUGAAUCAUAUUACUUGUGUAGAAGUUAGUUUUCCUAUCUUUUACUAAUGGCUAUUGCUUCCCUCGUGUAAAGCGUUUGUGGUAUGUUUCCGCUAUGCUUUCUCUAUGAUGAAAAUGUGCAUGUGAUGAGCUUGGGCGGAUAGGAAAACCGUCCGUGUCGGCGUGUUUUUGACGUGCUCUGGUCGGGCAAAUUGGCAUCGGUCCUGGCGUGACAUUUCGGCUUCAUCAGCCGAAUCUUCUGCCUCUUCCGAUGGAAUGUCGGCUCUUCAUGAGCCGAGGAUUCUCAAAGAAAGAAAUAUUUUUCUCUUUCCUUUAUUCCAAUCUUUGUUUUGGCUCCACCUUUGGUCUCGUCAUUAUUUCCUUUUCGAAACUGCUCGUAUUGAGCAACUCGAACUCCCAAAUCAAACAGGUUUGGGAAAAAUUUAUCUCAAAUGAUCUUAAUUUUAAAAUGCAUGCCGUUGAAUGCCAUUUUGGCAAACUUCGAUUCCGACAUCCUUACAAAACGUACGGCUUCGAGCCAUCUUAAAUCGGUUAAAAUAUUCAUCAACCGAUUCCUCGUCCUUGUCUAAAUUGAGCAAGUCUGCAACCGACAACUCAGCUGCGUUCUAUAAAACUGCUCAUGAAAUUUACCCUCUAAUUCAUCCCAGUCUCAACGAAUUAGCAGGUAAACUUGUAUACCAAGUGAAGGCUGUCUUGGUUAGAUGAAGUAUGAAUAACCUGAACUUUAAAAAAGGAUCUGCCGCUGCUUCGCGGCAUUGGACUGUAAAUCGAGCGACGUGUUCAUCCUUAUUUUGCGUCUCAUCUCUAGAAAAUUUGUCAAAUUUUGCAUCUUCCAAUUUGCCGGAUAUGGGUGUUCUACAUCUAUAUAGGAGGAUAUGGUGAUCUGAAUACAGGCCGCAUUGCGCCCUGUGCCUACUCCGAAAGUAUUCGGAUCGCUUCUUCUAUUUACGCAUAUAUCCAUUAUUGAUCCCCUGUAUGGAGACUUGCGCUGGCACUGGAUUCAGUGUUGUUGAACCCCGAGAUUCAGUACUAAGGGAUUAACCCCUUGUGCAUUCGGGCCUGCCCCCUAGCCCCUACGUUUGGGCUGGUAGGCUACAACUGGAGGGGGUGGAGGUAAUCCCCAGCCACUUCCGGAUGUGUGACCGGUGUUCCCAACAACUUGUCUAUAAGCCGCUUGAUACUUGCCCCCUGGUAUUGGGGCUGACCAACAACCGUGUUACUGGAUUUUGUAACACAGGCGUUAUCACAGGCGCUGAAGGCCUGCUAUCGGCUGUUCGUUUCGAGUUACACUGCCCUAUUCGGCUAUGUUUCCGUUAGAGACCGUGAUUGCGGCCAAAACGGCAUCCAGCCGCGCGUACUCGCAUGGACUAUUCUGGUCCAAAGUCUGUAGGACCGUGUCAUUUGGCCGAGUACUUGGUCAAACUAGUCUCCUGUUGGCCAGAUUGACGCUAGUCCCACUUCCACCGGUAAAACUGCUUGGCGCUCCACCGCAUUGCUCCGAAUUACUGGCUGUCACGAUCCGAGAAUUUCUAGGAAUGGCCCUAUUACGGAAUUCAUGGCGUUGUCAUCGGCCAUAUUAUAAAAUGCAAAUUUACCUCAAAAGAGUCCACCGGGCGUGCAAAAUUGUUGGUGGCCGAAAGUCCCGACCUCGGCUAGGUCAGAAUAUACUCCUCGGGAAGGGCGUCGGGAUGAUACGCGGCUGCUGAUUUGACCCUCGAAGUUUCCGCCACGACGGAUCAAGCGAAUUCGGCCAAGAGGGAUCGAAUCAGCCGGUGUUCGAAACCUCCACAGUAAAUUCGCUUCGGCGGAAUGAGCCGAAUGGAGAAGGAAGCCUGUAUCUCGCUGAGAGACGAGCCGAAACGACUGAACAACUCGAGAUCUGAUCGGCAAGAAGGGCGAUAAAACAGCUUUCUAUUAAAGGGAAGACAGAGAAUUACAGGAACAGGGAGUGAUGCCCGUAGGGCAGACAACUCCGAGUAUGAGAACAGGAGAGUGAUGCCGUAGGGCAGACGACUCCGAGUGUGCUAAAUUACAGGAACACUACUCCUAAUGAAAAGCGGUAAAUGCAGAAAGAAAGAUGCAGGAAAAUAAAGUGGUCUUUUGUGGCGCAGGGGCGAAGACCUGUUUUCAGAGUAUCGAACGCUUAUUUAUAGAAUUGUCCUUGCGUUACUUAUUCUCUUGCACGAUCAGUCACGAUCUCCUGAAUUGUAGGACCACCUUGGUCGAUCGAACCGCUCGUUACUGCUGGCGGUUGCUAUAAUUCUUGGUCCAGCGCGGCUCGCGUGUGUCCGGUGUACUCUAGGUCUACCGUUUUAGCGUCUUACUGAUAUGGACCCCGGCGUGCCUCUGUUCGCGCCUGACUGGCUCAACAGUAACUUUAAUUGAAAUAAGGAGAUCAAUUGAACAAAUUUAUAAAACUUAGGAGUUUUGAUUAUUAAAAUUGAAUGUUUAGAUGUUUGGUUGUAAAGAGCUAAAAUAGAUGGAGUCUCUCUUUAACUUGUUUUUUCCUUAAUUAAUAAUAUUUUUAAUCGUCAAUAUAUUUCGAAAUUACCUACUUCAAUUAUAUAAUAACAUAACAAUACGAUGAAGUAAAAGAUCAAACUCCUCUCUAAAAUUAAAAAAUUAAAAAUAAAAAAAAACUCGCUACCUUUGCCACGAAAGCACACGCCACAUCCCGCGUACACGUACAGCACGUAGGCGAAUUUCUUUUCGGAGUGCCUCGGCACACGUGUCAGCUCUUCGCCGCCGCAGCAGACAAAGCACCAAAUGCAUGGCGUCACAAUUUCACAUCACGGGGAAAGCUCAGCGUUAACGGCAUAACCCAAGUGCUCCACCCCAUUGGCUCUCCGCUUAAUUAAACCCCCAAGAGAUAAAAGCACAAUCCUUAUCCCACGAAAGAGAUCCGAUGCCUUUUUUUUUUUUUUUUUUUUUUUUUUUUGCCUCUGUGUGUGUACGUGCGUUUGUGUUUGUGUUUUUUUUCCCCUCUCUUUGGAAAAUGUAUGCGGGUAGUGGGUAGGCAAAUUAGUGUUGGCAAUAUCAAAACAGUUCCCAAAGAAAACUAAUUAAAUGUUGAGAAAUAUAAAAAGUUACAAAUAUUUUGAAACUAAUUUUCUGUCGAAGCUUAAUUUGUUCAAGUCUAGUAGCCAGUUAAUUACUUUCCUAAACUAUGGCUUCAACUUUACAAACUAUUUGAUCACUAAUAAUCUAGACAUGCCUUUUUUUUUAAGAGAUAAUUACCUAUAUACCUCUCAAAUUUCAAAAAUAUUUCAUUUAUCCUACUUUAAUUUUUCUUUCAAUAUACCUCUCAUAUGCCUCCUUAUUCCAAAAUAUCCUUAUAGUUACCACCCCGUUAAGUUAACUUAAGUUAAAUGUGAGUUGAAAUAUCUAUUAGAAUUUUUUUUAAAAAAAUUAAAAUAUCUAUUUUACUCUUAACUUAAGGGCGAAUAAGAAAUGUUGGUGAUGACAAAAGAGUAUAUUUGAAAAACCUAAAAAUUAAAAUAUUUUUGUGUGCCCUAAUUUAAGGGUAAAUAAGAAAAGUCGGUUAUGAAGAAUGGUAUAUUUGAAGGGGAAAAUAGUAAUUUUAUAGAGAUAACAGUAAUACCUAACCGUUCAUUAACAGAAUUUAACUCCAAGGCCCCGUUUGGUUCGGGGAUAAGUGGGGAUAACGAAAGUUAUCCCGCUAUUCCGUCAAACGGGAUCAUUUUUUAUCGGAAUAUUUUAUCCCGGUCAAAACUUGCUAUUCCUUAUCCCGGAAUAGCAAGCUUUUUACUAUUCCACUAUUUGAUGGAAUAGUGUUCCAUGCUUAAUUCAAAACUUAAUUAAAAUUAUAAAAUAAAUUAAAACUAAAUUAUAUAAAUAUAAUAUAUUAUAUAUUAUAAUACAUUAUUUUUAUUAUAAAAUUAUUAAUUGUGCUAUAUUAAUACAUAUUAUUUAUAUUUAAAUAUUAUAAUAAAUUUUAUAAUAAAUUAUAUUUAAAUAUUAAAAUAAAUUAAAAUUUAAAAUUUAAAUAAAUUUAAAAUUUAAAAUAUUAUAAUAAAUUAUAUUUAAAAUUUAAAAUUUGUAAUCUCAAAAUUAAAGUUUAUAAUUUUAAAUUCCACAUUUUAAAUUUUAAAUUUGAAUUUUGAAAUUUUAAAUUUUUAAAAUUUUAAUUUUGAAAUUUUAUUUUUUUUUCAAAUUUAAAUUUGAUCUUAAAUUUAAAGUUUAAAAUUUAAAUUUUAAAAUUUUGAAUAUAAAAUUUGAGAUUUUAAAUUUAAAAUUUUAAUUUUAAAUUUUUAAAAUUUAAAAGUUAAAAUUUUAAAUUUUAAAAUAUAAAUAUAAAAUAUAAAAAUUCAAAUUCUAAUAUAAAGAAAGAAAUAAUAUUAUUAAUUUUUAUUUAUAACUACCUACUUUAAUUCUUAUUCCAUCUUAUCUAACCAAACGUUAUUUUUCUUAUUCCCAGAAAUAACCCAAUUUUCAUCCAAACGUAAAAUUGAUCUAAUCUCCGCUUGUACCUCAAUUUAUACCUAUCCCUGGAAUACCCACCUUUUGCUUAUUCCCGAACCAAACGAUACCUAAGUAUAUAUUUAAAUAGGUUGGAACUUAAAAAAGAGAUUUUUAAUAUUAUCUUUUUAAGAGGAUAAUCAGAAAGUUAAAAACUUUUCAAGGAUGUAUAAGAAAUUGCCCCUUUUUUAAAAUAUAGAAAAUGAAUAAAGCAUUGAAUAGCUAGAUGUUAUGUUUGUGGCAUUAAUUCUAAACAGCUAUCAUAAAACUGUUAAAAUCAUAAUUUAAUUUAUUCAUUACAUUUCGUGACAUUUAAAAGACUCACAUAUCAAAAGUUAUAAAUUCUGAAAAUUACCAUGACUCCAAUAAUAUUCUUUCUUAAUUUGUAUUGCCGGUUCCUCGCUACUUCUUAUUGUCUACUCCAUCUGUAGAUUUUCCCACCGCAUUAAAUUUUAUGCAUAGGCCAAUUAAUUAGAUUUUGCACAUCGUAUCUAUUGAAUAUAUAUGAAUUUGGCGUUAGCACACGACCAUCUCACUCACAUGUCAAUUUUUUUAACAUCUCGAUCGGCGCGCUCUCGUAUGUAGCGAAUAUCAGUUAAAUUAAUUACCACACGAUACAUGUACAGUGACAAGAGAUAGAAAGCUGCAGAGACAAUCAAAUUAAUAACAGAUAGUUAGCAACAUAUCUGUUGGAUUAGGGUUUAAGACCGGCUGGCUCUACUACGUACCAUUUAACUGCCAAGGUAAUUAAUUUAUGAGGAUGAGUCUGGAAUAUAUAUGUGGAGUAGGGCUACUAUACUCUUAUGAGUAUAAAGUCCUUCGUACUCAUUAGUUGGUUUUGAUGUUGGGGUUUCGAAUAGACGAUCCACACCACUAAACAUGAUCUAGAAUACUUGAAACUUCUACAAAAUAAAUUUCGUAAUUUUUCGAAAUCGUUAUAAAGUCCAUUAAGCGGGUAUAAAAUGAACGGUUAAAACCGAACGACAUCCUAAAAAUGGAUGAUCGGAUCAUUCAAUUUAAGAUCGGAAUUAUUGAUCUUUAUCUAGGUACGUAGUGAAUAGAAUUUUCUAUAAAAAAUCCAACCUAUUCCGAUUCUUUUACACCGUUAAAUUACCAAGUAUAUAUUCCAUACCGGAUGUUAAAAAGUUUCAAUUUUGUGAGCUUUUGAUCGUAAGAUAAUGAUAUCAAAAAAUUAUAAAAUUUGAUUUCUAUAAGUUUUAAAUACUCUAGAUAAUAUUUAACGGUAUGGAUCGUUGAUUCGAAAGCUCUAUCACCGAAAAUAAAUACGAGGGCAAUCGUGGGCCCCACGCCCACGUGUCUGUACCAGGUAUAUAUAUAUAUAUAUAUAUAUAUAUAGAGUGAGGCUACUAUGCUAUCGGAAGCACGGAGCCUUCCGUGCUUCCAGCUCGUUUUCGAUGUUGCUACUUUCAAAUCGUCGAUCGGCUCCGUUAAAUUUGAUCUAGAGUAUUUGGAGUACCUAGAAAAUAAAUUUUAUUAUUUUUCGAUAUCAUUUGCCUAGUGAUCGAAUGAGUUCAAAAUCAACAAAUUUCAAUGGCCGUAGUGAGCCGUUUGCAAGUUUAACGAUGUAGAAAUAUCCAAAUCACGUGAAAUUUUGAUAGAAAAUUCUUUAUACUAUAUAAAACAAUAUCAAUAUCUUUGAUUUAAAAUUUUAAUGUCAUAUUAUUACAUUUUGUAAGAUUUUUAUUUUCAGCCGUUGAUUUUGAACCCCUUCGUUCACUAGGCAAAUGAUAUCGUAAAAUCAAAAAAUUUAUUUUCUAGGUACUUCAAAUACUCUAGAUCAAGUUUAACGGAGCCGAUCGACGAUUCGAAAGUCGCAACAUCGAAAACAAGCUGUAAGCAUAGAAGGCUAUGUGCUUCCAAUAGCAUCGUAGCCUCACUCUCUCUCUCUCCCUAUAUAUAUAUAUAUAUAUAUAUAUAGAGAGAGAGAGAGAGAGACUACUAUACUAUUAAUAGCACGAAAUCAUUCGUGCUACCAAGUUUUUGGCCAUUGGAUUAAGAAAAUGUGCGGUUAGGAUGAUGUGGACCCCCUAGGGUUGAUUGGGUGGUUGGUUGAAUAGUAUGAUCUAACGGGUGAAAAUGAUCAAAAGCGUAGAUUUAAUGACGAAAAACUUGAUAGCACCAAGUACUUCGUGCUACUAAUAGUAUAGUAGCGAGACUCAUAUAUAUAUAUAUAUAUAUAUAUAUAUAUAUAUAUAUAUAUAUAUAUAUAUAUAUAUAUAUAUAUAUAUAUAUAUAUAAAACACUUUCCAAGUUUCAACCAACUACCUAACAUGCCUUUCAUGUGGUGCAUGCAUAAGGUUCAGUAGGGAUACACCUGGUACAGACACUAAUUAUAAAUAAAUAAAUAUUCCCUCUCCAUUUAUAUUUGCAGUCCUUUUCCUUCUUUUUCUUCUUUAAUUUUGUGAUUACGAAUGACAAUGGGAAGAAGUAAAGUUACUUUAGUGGAGUUUAUACGUGGCAUUAUUGGGAGCCAAUAGAUCGACGGGCAAAUUAAGAGAGAGACGGCGUGGCAUGGCAUGGCAUAUGGAGGAGUCGCGCGCGGACUGCCCUGCCCCUCUUUCGACGGUAAUGGCAUCACGUACGUCCCACCGUUAAUUGCAUGGGGGGGGGGGGUGAAGUUAAAAGGGAGAUCGCUACCACACGCCAUGUGGGAGUGGGGCCCACGAUUGUGCUCGUGUGGGGCCACCUCCACGUAUCGUGCUUCUCUUGGGCGGCCUCGCCGACAAUCCCCUGUUGCUUUUGCUUCGCCAGUCGCUCACUGCCGCUGUGGCUUUCCCCAUGUCGCGGUGGGGAAGGGCAUAUUAAUGGCUUUGAAUUGAAAGAUGGAAUCCUUCGCUCAGACGCGCUAUGAAAGUUGGAAAUUUCAAUCCAGAAUCGUCUUCCCCAUAAUACUCUUCUUUUAUAUAUAUAUAUAUAUAGUUAUUGAAUUAAGAGAUGUGUGGUUAGAAUAAUGUGGGCCUCCUAGGAUUGAGUGGAUGGUUGGUUAAAUAAUAUGAUCUAAGGGAUUAAAUGAUCAAAAUGGUAGAUCUAACGGCGGAAAACUUGGUAGCAUUAAAUGCUUCGUGCUAUUAAUAGCAUAGUAGCCGGACUAUAUAUAUAUAUAUAUAUAUAUAGAGAGAGAGAGAGAGAGAGAGAGAGCUAGGCUCCUAUGCUUUCGAAAGUAUGGAUGCCUCUGUGAUUGUAAGUUGUUUUCGAUGAUGGGACAUCCGAUUUAGCGAUCGGUUCCGUUAGACAUGAUUUAUGCUAUUGGAACUAUCUAUUAAUCAAUUUUCAUAAUUUUUUGACUUCAUUUACCCAGUGAACGAGUAGUCUCAAAAUGAACGGCUGAAAAUAAAAAUCUAAUAAAAAACGGUGAUAAAGGGCUCAAAUUUCAAAUCGAUAGUAUUGCUCUUACUCUUGAUAUUAAGUAAAAUUUUUUAUUAAAUUUUCAUGUAAUUUGGAUACAUCUACACCGUUGAACUUAAAAACAUGCCACAUUGGCCGUUAAAAUAGUCAUUUUUUAGACCCUGUGAUCGCUUUGUAAAUGAUGUCAAAAAAUUAUGAAAUUUGGUUUCUAGAUAGUUCCAAUAACAUAGAUUAUACCUAUUGGAGCCGAUCGUCAAAUUGGAUAUCCUAUCAUCGAAAACAACUUACAAGUACGGAAGCCUCCGUACUUUCGAAAGUACAGGAGACUUACUCUAUAUAUAUAUAUAUAUAGAGAGAGAGAGAGAGAGAGAGAGAGAGAGAGAGAGAGAGAGAGAGAGCAGGGCAGCUUUGCUCUCAGGAGCAUGAAUGCCUCCGUGCUCUUGAGCCGUUUUCGAUUAUGAAGUUUUCGAAUCGAUGAUCGGCUCUGUUAAACUUGAUCUAACGUAUUUGAAGUUUCUAAAAAAUAAUUUUUGCGACUUUUCAAUAUCAUUUACCUAGCAAUCGAAAUGAUUUAAAAUCAAUAAUUUUUAACGGCUGAAAAUAAAAAUUCUAUAAACAGUGGUGAUAUAGCACUAAUUUUUAAUCAGAAAUAUUGAUCUUGUUGUAGAUAGUAUAAAAAAUUUUGUAUCAAAAUUUUAUCUGAUUUGAAUACUUCUACACCGUUAAACUUGAAAACGGCAGAUAUCAACUAUUAAAAAUUAUGGAUUUUGGAUUUUGAAUCUUUUUCGAUCACUAGGUAAAUGAUAUCAAAAAAUCAAAUAAAUUAUUUUCUAGAAACUUCAAAUGUACUAGAUCAAGUCUAAUGGAGCCGAUCGUCGAUUCAAAAAUUCCAUCAUAAAAAACGGCUCAGGAGCACGGAGGCCUCCGUUUUCCUGAGAGCACAGCUGUAACGCACUGGACCUUUGCAAAUUGCGAGGUUCGAGUGAUUGGUUGUGUUCUAAGUUUUUUCAGAUUUUUCUGGUGGGUCGUUGACAGUGUUCCGACUUAUGGCUCGUAUUCUGAGAAUUGUAGUAUUUUAAGUAGCGCUAAGAUCGCCAAAGUAGAGGAUUUAGGCUGCUCUCGGAUUGCUAUUUUCGGGACUGCGUACCGGUACAGGGUUGGUGGCUGUACCGGUACGCCGGCCCGUGUACCGGUACACUGCGGCAGAAUCUGAAUGGACGAAACUGUAGGGGUGUUUUUGCAAAGUGGCUUCUCUAUAUGUGUCCCUACGCCCCUAGGGCAUUUUCCUGAGCUGGGAACACAGGGAAUUAAGGUAAGGGAGCUUCUCCUUGUCCCUCAAUGGUGAUUUUAUCCCUUUCUCUUGGAUUUUGGUGGAUUAAUCUCUCUCUUUUUCCCUCUUGGUACAUUUCCACCAUGGUUGAAGCUUGAGGCUUGGUUUUAAAGCUUGGUUGAGGGAAGAUCUUUGAAGUUUGAGGAUUUAGAGCUUGGAUUAAAGCUUCCAAGAGGUUGGUAACAAGUUUCUUUUAUCUAGAUUCUUGUUUUGAUGGUUUCUUUGAGAUGAAACCCUAGAAUGAGGUUUUUGGGUUGAUUUUGGGGCUUUUUGAUUAGAAGCUUUUAGAGCUAAUCUAAUUAGAUUAGAACCUUAGUUUAGGUUGCUUUGGAAGGGAUUUAGCUUCCUUUUGAGCUUCGGAAAGGGAUUUCUCCACUAUAGGUGAGAUUUUAGCCCCUUUGUAUAGAUGGUUAAUGUUUGAUCUUAUAGUUGUUCGUAAGGUUCGUUUAACCUUUAUUUCUAUACCUCUAGGGUACUAGGAGGCUAGUGGGCACCUUCGUCGGAGCUUACGAAGGGUUGCGCAAGUUUCGGUGGGUUUGACCUAGCCUACAAUGUCACGCCGCAAUCCCCGCCAAUUUGGUCGGGUUCGGGUCGCGUCAAUAGACGCCGAACGGAUAGAGCCUCCCCGUCCGCCCAAGGCUCUAACAACAUGUAUAAAUAAACAAUCAACAAGGGAUUUGCAUAUAUAAUACAAGGCUUGCACAGGGGCAAGCAACAACGGAAAUGAAAGCUCUAAGCUAAUUAUAUAGUAUACAUGAUAUUUGAUUAAAUUUAAACCAAAUACAAGUAAAUAAAAUUAUUACAUUUCCAUUCACCCAUCAUAUCUUUUUACAUUUAGUCAUCCGCCAAACACAUGAUUGUUUACAACUUUGCAAUUCUAAUUCAACAAAAGAAGUUGAUAUAUGUAUACCCAAAAAGGGGAAUGACUACAAAAUAUAAAAAAUCCCGGUGGCCGCUAUCUACGGCGCUAUACCCUUGGCUCGGUCCUCCGCCGCCCCGCUCGUGCUAGGACCUGUAGGGUUAGUGGUGUGAGAACUACAACGAAGUUUCCAGUGGGUUCGGCAUCCGACCUCGCCGACUUACCCACUAGGUCUAUCUAGGCAUAAGUAUUUCAAGGACAGAAAAGUAACUAGUACUAAUGCAUCUAAUACUAUGCCUGCAGAAAAAUGUCAGUGGAUACAAAUACUCAAUGCAAUAAUGGAAAAUGCAUGCAUGCUCAAUUCAUAAAUAAGUUUUGGCUCUUUUCGCAGUCGGGGACCGGUCUCCCCGACUAGGGACCGGUUCCCGAAUGUUGGGUUUCCAGGACUUAGCCGAUUUUCUGGCUUUUUCAGCUGCUGCGCGACGAGGGACCGGUCUUUCCCUCAGGGACCGGUCUCCCGAGGACCGGUCUCACUGCAAGGGAUCGGAUGCCUCAGGAUUCCUGACAAGCUACGCGUACGAGAACCGGUCUCUCCUUCAGGGACCGUCGAGGACCGAUCUCUCCUUCAGGGACCGAUCCCCAAGAGCACAAAAUCUACGACUUAGCCAGAUUUUGAAAUCUCACUCUCUCGGGUCCCUAUGCAUCAUAAAUAGGCUCCAAUGCACUUAGGGCCUAUACCCACUCGUUCCACUCCGCGUUCCGCUCGUUUCGACGGAACUAGGCACGAUUUACGAGGGACAUGGUAUGUUACAUUCUCCACCCCUAUAAUUUAGUUUCGUCCGCGAAACUACUAAGUUCGAAAUUUAAAUUUCACACAUCACUUCAGUUCCUCAAAGAGGUGAGGAUAACGCUCCCUCAUUUCCCUUUCGAGCUCCCACGUUUCUUUCCGGUCAUUAUGCUCGCACCAAUGAAUCUUGACAUACGGAAUUUCACGGUUCCGAAGCUUUCGCACCUCCCGAUCGACAAUAUAUGCCGGGAACUUCUCAUAAGUCAUAUCCUCUUGAAGCUCUAUCGGAUUAUACGAGAGAAUAUGAUCUGGGUCGUACAUAUACUUGCGGAGUUGGGAUACAUGGAACACAUCAUGUACUCCUGCGAGCCUCGGUGGUAAUGCCAACCUGUAGGCCACCGCGCCAACUCGUUCCAAAAUCUCGAAGGGUCCGAUAUAGCGGGGGCUUAGCUUCCCGCGAACACUGAACUGCUUAACUCCUCGCAUCGGUGAUACUUUUAGAAAUACGCGGUCUCCCACCGCGAACUCAAUAUCCUUUCGCCGCUUGUCGGCAUAACUCUUGUGCCUUGAUUGCGCCGUCACUAAUCUUUGUCGGGCAAGGCGGACUUUCUCCUCCGCCUCCGGCACCACUUCCGGGCCAAGAACCAUCUUCUCGGCCAUAUCGCUCCAGUGUAUUGGCGAGUGAUAUUUCCUUCCAUAUAGGGCCUCGAAUGGCGCCAUCGCAAUGCUUUCUUGAUAGCUGUUGUUGUGUGCGAAUUCCGCCAUCGGUAAGUGGUCGUGCCAUCCGCCCUUAUAAUCAAGCACACACGCUCGAAGCAUGUCCUCAAGUAUUUGAAUAGUCCUUUCCGAUUGACCGUCACUUUGAGGAUGGAAUGCCGUACUAAAGUCGAGCCGCGUGCCCAAUGCAUCUUGUAAACUCUUCCAAAAAUGAGAUGUGAACCUAGGGUCCCGAUCCGAUACAAUAGAUACCGGAACCCCAUGAAGUCUCACCACCUCGUCAAUAUAGACUUGAGCUAACUUGUCUCCCGACCAAGUAGUGUGGAUCGGCAAAAAGUGUGCCGAUUUUGUCAACCAGUCCACAACUACCCAAAUCGCGUCAUGUCCACCUUGUGACCUAGGCAAACCUGUCACAAAAUCCAUUGUGAUGUUUUCCUAUUUCCACACGGGUAUAGGUAGACUUUGCAAUUUCCCCGUCGAAAAUUGACGCUCCGCCUUCGCUUGUUGGCACGUGAGACACUGCGCCACGAACUCUUCUAUAUCUUUCUUCAUGCUCGGCUACCAAUAAUGCAAUUUCAGGUCUCGAUACAUUUUGGUGCCGCCCGGGUGAAUGCUAUAGGGAGACUGAUGCACUUCUUGCAUAAUCGCCCUCCGAAGGUCGUCGUCCUUGGACACGCACCAACGAUCUCGAUAUCGUAGUGCACCGUCGGUUCCAAUGCCAAAGUCAUCGGCACUACCGCUCUCAACUUUGCCCCGCACCUUUUGGAGAAAUUCAUCCGAUGCUUGUAAUCCUUUAAUUUUCUCCAACAAGGUUGGUUGUACUACUAGGGUGGCAAGUGUUGCCGACACUCCCGGCGCCACAACUUCUAGUCCAAACCGCUGCAUCUCCUUUUGCAAAGCCGGUUGAGGUGUAAUUUCCAUCGCCAAAUUUUCCGCCGACUUUCUACUUAGAGCAUCGGCCAUGACGUUCGCUUUCCCGGGGUAGUAGAGAAUCGUGACAUCCAUAAUCUUUGAGCAACUCUAACCACCGCCGCUGUCGCAAGUUUAGCUCUUUCUGGGUGAACAAGUAUUUGGGACUUUUAUGAUCGGUGUAGAUCUCACAAUGCUCACCGUACAAGUAAUGCCUCCACAAUUUUAGCGCGAAGACAACCGCCGCUAGCUCAAGGUCGUGAGUCGGGUAGUUCUUUUCAUACCUCUUCAACUGGCGCGAAGCAUAAGCUAUGACUCGGCCGUUUUGCAUUAAGACACACCCGAGACCGAUAUAUGAAGCAUCACUGUAUACGACAUAACUAUCUCCCGGUAUCGGCAAGGCAAGCACCGGAGUAGAUGUCAGUCUAUUCUUAAACUCCUCAAAGCUUCGCUCACACUCCGGGCUCCAAACAUACUUCACCCCUUUGUGCGUAAGGCGCGUUAGUGGAGUUGUUAUCCUGGCAAACCCCUCCACGAACCGCCGGUAGUAGCCCCCAAGUCCAAGGAAGCUACGGAUUUUCGCUACACUUGUCGGGCGAGGCCAAUCUUUAAUUGCCUCAACCUUCUUUGGGUCCACCGAGAUGCCGUCUCCGGAUACAACGUGACCCAAGAAGGUAACCUCCGAAAGCCAAAACUCACAUUUCUUUAGUUUUGCGUAAAGCUUUUCCUUCCAGAGUGUCUCCAACACGAGUCUUAGAUGCUCCUCGUGUUCGUCCUCAGUUCGAGAAUAUACCAACACGUCGUCAAUGAAAACCACGAUACACCGGUACAAUAGCGGACGGAAGAUUCGAUUCAUUAGGUCCAUAAAUGCCGCCGGGACGUUAGUGAGCCCGAAUGGUAUGAUCGUAAACUCAUAGUGGCCAUGUCGCGUACGGUACGCCGUCUUAUGCACGUCUUUGGGCCGUAUCUUCAACUGAUGAUCCCCCGACUGCAGAUCAAUCUUCGAAUAUACCCUUGACCCUUACAACUGGUCGAAUAAGUCAUCAAUUCUCGGCAAUAGGUAUUUGUUCUUGAUCAUCACUCUAUUCAACUCGCGAUAAUCAACGCAGAGUCGAAGUGUGCCGUCCUUCUUCUUUACAAAUAGCACCAGAGCUCCCUACGGGGACACGCUCGGCCGUACGAAGCCUUUAUCGAGUAAGUCUUGCAGCUGAGCCUUCAACUCAUUUAGCUCCACCUGUGCCAUUCUAUAUGGAGCCUUCGAAAUUGGCGCCGCCCCAGGAAUCAAGUCAAUGACAAACUCGACUUCCCGAUCCGGGGCCAAUCCCGGUAACUCCGCUGAAAACACAUUCGGAUACUCACGCUGUAAUAUACCAGAUUUGGUAUAAAAAUAAUAAUAAAUAAAAAUAGUGUGAGAAACUAUUUUUAUUAGAUUUAUAGAGGUAAAACAUAAGUCAGAGGUGACUUGUGCUGAAAUCGGAAUUAAAACAGAAGAUCUAGAAUUUUCUGUUGGAGACGGGACAGAAAAAUAAGCAGAAAAUGCACAUCUCAGAAAAUUAUGAAAAUUGACGGAGAUGUCAGAAAUAUUUUUAUGAGGCUAGAUUUAAGGUUUCAUAUUUUUCUGACACCCAUAGAGUGAGAAAUAAAAUCCGAAAGCUAUCUGAUAAAGAUUGCAGUUCGGUACAGUUUUCAGUGACCAAAUGGGGUCGAAACUGAACCAGUGAUCGUCAGCUUGUUAAGUUAAGUAAAACCGAACAUGACUGUCAAGUUUGAGCUCAAACGGAGAUUCAGGGAGCUCCGGCGAAAGUUAUCAGAUUUUAAGCUGCCUGGAGGUGAAUAGUGUUGGGGUGUAAUUAAAUAGAAGCAUGAUGCUUCUUCUUCCUCCUUCAGCCGUGCACACCCACACACACCUCACGCACACAUGGAGAGAGGAGAGAAACUCUCCUUUCUCUCUCUAGAGAUCUCUCUCAUUUCUCUAUAUUUCUCGCUCAAAUUCGCGGGGUUGGUGGAGAAUAUGCUUACGCACGCGUUGGAGGCGACGGAUUGAGCUUUCGUGCGCCCGUUGGAGCGGUGUGUUGUCGUCGCGGCGUUCACAUUGAGGUAAGCUUUUAGGAUUUGGCUUAAUCCUUAGCUUUAAGUAUUCUAAUAGCCUCUAAUGAGCUUUGUUAGCAUGUUGAUCCAUUUAAUUUUGGAUUAUUUUGAGGUUAAUAACAUAUUAGGGCUCCGAAUGGGGUUUUGUAAAAUAUAAGGGUUUGAUCUAAUUUGACCCUCCGUAAACCUAAUUGCUAGGUAAACGAACGCGUUGGCGAAGACGGUUCGGCGAUCCGACGAGCUGUUACAAAGUUAUUAAAGAAAUGGACGUUUAGGCUUCGGGUCCGCCGGGAGGGCCGAGGCGAUAUCGUAAAUUCAUGAAAAUGGAUUUGAAGCAUCGUGGCACAUAACCGAAGACCUUUAAUUUUCGGAUCGUGAAUUGGAGGCCGUUCGGGUGGUCGCGUGAGAGAUCGGGCCAAACCGGGUUACGGGUGCCGCGGGAGGCCGAUUGCAAGUGUCGACAAGCAAUCGGAAUGCGAAAUGAGGUGGGUUGUGCUCACCGAAGCGAUUAGGUCGCUUUCCAUGCUAAAGUGUAGUAUGUUUACUAUUGAUGCAUGAUAAAGUAUGCUAUUUAAGAAUGCAUGAUAAAGAUUAAAGUAUGCUAUUUGAGAAUGCAUGAUAAAGUAUGCUAAUUAAGAAUGCAUGAUAAAGAUAGAUGCCAAAUGAAUGCAUGAGUUGAUGUUAAUUUAUAUGUGCAUAUUAUAGAAAUGCUAAAUAGAUGUCAAAUGAAAGUAUGAGAUUUGUACUAACCGAGAAUGCAUGUAGUAAAUGUUAACGAAUGCAUAAAAUGCUAAGUAAUGACUACCAAUGGAUGACAAAAUAUAUGCAUGUUGAACAUAGAUCGAGUGGCAUUCGAAAUGGUAAAGUGGACACUAGAGUUAGUGUGGGACAUCAAAGAAUAAAUGUGAUGUAAAGAACAAUGAUAAUGGCUAAAGAUAAUGUAAAACAAUGUGAUGAUAAUAAUGUAAUGUUGCAUGAUGUGAGUACACGUGCUUAUUAGAAUGAUUAAGAAUCUAAAUAAUCUAUGUGUAUGCAUGAGAUGUAAUGUGAGAACCUAAUGAUAAUGGCUUGAGACAAGGCAAAGCAAUGUGAUGUAAAGAAUAAUGAUAGUGGCCAAAGACAAUGUAAUGUAAUGUGGCAUAAAGAACGUGUAAAGUUAAAGAAUGUGAAAGCUAAAGAUAGCUUAAAGUAAAGGAAUGUGAAAAACGUGAUUACUAGAGUUAGCAAAAGUAAAAGAAAUGUAAAGAACAAUGAUUGCUAGAGUGGCAACAUAAAGUGAUGUAAAGAACACUAGAGUUAGUAUAAAACCAUGAUCCAACUACAUAUCCUUAGAGUUAAGGAUUGAUCAUACUUGCUAUGAGCUCCGUGCUCGAGGGCGGUCGCUCCCCCUCGGGCGAUGCGCUCCGGAGUUUGGCAUCCGGGUUGGAGUAGACCUUUAAGGACGGUCCUAGCUGGUGAGUUCCUGCGAUGAUGGACUUAAUGUGAAGCAAGUUAAUGUGGCGAAACCCCCGGGUUAGCCGUGAGAUUAAAGAACAAAGAACAAAAGGGAUCAUGGAUUGGAAAGUGGAUCUUGUAUUCAUCAUGAAUUGACUCAAGACCGAGUCGAGUGGCAUAGUUGGCUAGGGUAAAGGUAACCCCGUGAAA